UACGUAGGGGGCUAGCGUUGUCCGGCAUCAUUGGGCGUAAAGAGCGUGUAGGCGGUCCGGUAAGUCCGCUGUGAAAGUCGGGGGCUCAACCCUGGGAUGCCGGUGGAUACUGCUGGGCUAGAGUACGGAAGAGGCGAGUGGAAUUCCCGGUGUAGCGGUGAAAUGCGCAGAUAUCGGGAGGAACACCUAUUGCGAAGGCAGCUCGCUGGGACGUUACUGACGCUGAGACGCGAAAGCGUGGGGAGCAAACAGG
rnacentral:rRNA from 1 species